rnacentral:rRNA from 2 species
GAUGAACGCUAGCUACAGGCUUAACACAUGCAAGUCGAGGGGCAGCAUGGAAGAAGCUUGCUUCUUCUGAUGGCGACCGGCGCACGGGUGCGUAACGCGUAUCAAACCUGCCUCAUACUCGGGGAUAGCCUUGCGAAAGUAAGAUUAAUACCCGAUGUUGUUGCUUUCUCGCAUGGGAGAGUAACCAAAGAUUCAUCGGUAUGAGAUGGUGAUGCGUCCGAUUAGGUAGUAGGCGGGGUAACGGCCCACCUAGCCUUCGAUCGGUAGGGGUUCUGAGAGGAAGGUCCCCCACACUGGAACUGAGACACGGUCCAGACUCCUACGGGAGGCAGCAGUGAGGAAUAUUGGUCAAUGGGCGAGAGCCUGAACCAGCCAAGUAGCGUGCAGGAUGACGGCCCUCCGGGUUGUAAACUGCUUUUAGUUGGGAAUAAAAAAAGGGACUUGUCCCUUCUUGUAUGUACCUUCAG